AGCGGAGGAAAAGAAACUAACUAGGAUUCCCUUAGUAACGGCGAGUGAACCGGGAUGAGCUCAAAUUUAAAAUCUGGCGUCUUUCAGGCGUCCGAGUUGUAAUCUAUAGAGGCGUUUUCCGCGCCGGACCGCGUCCAAGUCUCUUGGAAUAGAGUAUCAAAGAGGGUGACAAUCCCGUACUUGACGCGACAACCGGUGCUCUGUGAUACGUUCUCAAUGAGUCGAGUUGUUUGGGAAUGCAGCUCUAAAUGGGUGGUAAAUUCCAUCUAAGGCUAAAUAUUGGCGAGAGACCGAUAGCGAACAAGUACCGUGAGGGAAAGAUGAAAAGCACUUUGGAAAGAGAGUUAAACAGCACGUGAAAUUGUUAAAAGGGAAACGAUUGAAGUCAGUCGUGUGAAAGGUAUUCAGCCGUCUCUGGCGGUGUAUUUGCCUUUCACGGGUCAACAUCAGUUUGAUCCGGUAGAAAAAGGCAGGAGGAAGGUGGCACCCUCGGGUGUGUUAUAGCCUCUUGUCAUAUGUGCCGGACCAGACUGAGGAACGCAGCUUGCCGCAAGGCCGGGGUUCGCCCACGUACAAGCUUAGGAUGUUGACAUAAUGGCUUUAAACGACCCGU
rnacentral:rRNA from 1 species